AAAAUAUUUAACUUUUUAAAGAUACCUAUUCGUGAGUUUUGGGUAAUAGUUUUAAGAUAAGUAUUAACACUACAAGAAAGCGGUGAUUUUACGACCGAAAUUUUCGACCGUAUAAAAAGUAGUCGCCAAAAUUAAAUUUUACCGACUAAAUAAUAGGUAGUCGUUAAAUUCAAUUUUUACCGACUAACAUUUUGUGGUCGGUAAUUUACGACUACUUUACAGGUAAACUACGACUACUUAGUAGUCGUGAAUAAAGUUGACCAAAACAAAUUUUCAAAAAAACUUACCGACUACUUUUACCGACCAAAUAAUUUUACCGACUACCUAAUGUAGUCGGAAUUUACCGACUACUUUGAAGUUGGUCGUUAAAAUAGAGUUUUACCGACUACUUUGAUGUUGGUCGUUAAUUUAACGACUAAAAAAGUAGUCGAUAAAAUAUCGGCCCAAAAAAAAUUCCAACAUUUUUCUAAAUAUUAAAAGUUAUUACCGACUACUAAAUUAGUCGGAAAUUUCAAUGAAUACCGACUAAUUUAGUAGUCGGUAUUAUUUUAAAAAUAAUAAAAUUUAUUACCGACUACUAAGUUAGUCGGAAAUUUCAAUAAAUACCGACUAAUUUAGUAGUCGGUGAUUUUCUUUUAAUUAAAACAAAUAAAGUAGUCGUUACUGUACUCUUUUAGAGAUUUGGGCUUUGGGCUUUAGAAUUUCAGUAUUUCACGCAUCAUCACACAACCACAAAAACCCUAACCUACUCUCAUCUCCUCUCUCUCUCUCCUCCCUCUUCACGCCGUUUCCCCCUUUUCCAACUCUCUCCUUUCUAAUUCUAUGCAACGUAUAUCUCCCAAUCCUCUCUUCUUCAGAUCAUCAUCACCUCACCGAUCUCCUUCAUCAUCAACCUCCUUUUAUCAUCAUCGACACCGUAGAUGAUCAUCAAAAUUGGGGAUGGAAGAUCUCAAGCAAAUAUUUGGAGUGAGGAGCAAAAUCUUGUUUUGUAAUUUUCGUUUUAGAUUAGAUUAAGUAUUAUAAUUUUUUCGACUCUAUUAGAUCUAACUUGUUGGUACAAGUAUUGUUGUAAUAACUCUUGAAUAUAUAAGUUUGGGUUUCAUUUUCUUUGUGGGUUAAUAAUAUGAAAAGUUGUUUUGAUUGUUA